UGGGAAUAUUGGGCAAUGGGGGAAACCCUGACCCAGCAACGCCGCGUGAAGGAAGAAGGCCUUCGGGUUGUAAACUUCUUUUACCAGGGACGAAGGACGUGACGGUACCUGGAGAAAAAGCAACGGCUAACUACGUGCCAGCAGCCGCGGUAAUACGUAGGUUGCAAGCGUUAUCCGGAUUUAUUGGGUUUAAAGGGUGCGUAGGCUGUGUAGCAAGUCAGUGGUGAAAGCCCGGUGCUCAACACCGGAACUGCCAUUGAUACUGUUGCGCUGGAAUACGGAUGCCGUGGGAGGAAUGAGUAGUGUAGCGGUGAAAUGCAUAGAUAUUACUCAGAACACCGAUUGCGAAGGCAUCUCACGAAUCCGUCAUUGACGCUGAGGCACGAAAGCGUGGGGAUCAAACAGGAUUAGAUACCCUGGUAGU
rnacentral:rRNA from 1 species